AGAGUUUGAUCCUGGCUCAGGAUGAACGCUGGCGGCGUGCCUAAUACAUGCAAGUCGAACGCACAGCGAAAGGUGCUUGCACCUUUCAAGUGAGUGGCGAACGGGUGAGUAACACGUGGAUAACCUACCUCAAGGUUGGGGAUAACAUUUGGAAACAGAUGCUAAUACCGAAUAAAACUUCGUAUCGCAUGAUACAAGGUUAAAAGGCGCUACGGCGUCACCUAGAGAUGGAUCCGCGGUGCAUUAGUUAGUUGGUGGGGUAAAGGCCUACCAAGACAAUGAUGCAUAGCCGAGUUGAGAGACUGAUCGGCCACAUUGGGACUGAGACACGGCCCAAACUCCUACGGGAGGCUGCAGUAGGGAAUCUUCCACAAUGGGCGAAAGCCUGAUGGAGCAACGCCGCGUGUGUGAUGAAGGCUUUCGGGUCGUAAAGCACUGUUGUAUGGGAAGAACAGCUAGAGUAGGGAAUGACUUUAGUUUGACGGUACCAUACCAGAAAGGGACGGCUAAAUACGUGCCAGCAGCCGCGGUAAUACGUAUGUCCCGAGCGUUAUCCGGAUUUAUUGGGCGUAAAGCGAGCGCAGACGGUUGAUUAAGUCUGAUGUGAAAGCCCGGAGCUCAACUCCGGAAAGGCAUUGGAAACUGGUCAACUUGAGUGCAGUAGAGGUAAGUGGAACUCCAUGUGUAGCGGUGGAAUGCGUAGAUAUAUGGAAGAACACCAGCGGCGAAGGCGGCUUACUGGACUGUAACUGACGUUGAGGCUCGAAAGUGUGGGUAGCAAACAGGAUUAGAUACCCUGGUAGUCCACACCGUAAACGAUGAAAACUAGGGUGUUAGGAAGGUUCCCGCCUCUAAGUGCCGAAGCAUAGGCAUAAUGUGUUCCGCCAGGGGAGAACGACCGCGAGGGUUGAAUCUCAAAGGAAUGGACGGGGACCCACACAAGCGGUGGAGCAUGUGGUUUAAUUCGAAGCAACGCGAAGAGCCUUUACCAGGUCUUGACAUCCUUUGAAGCUUUUAGAGAUAGAAGUGUUCUCUUCGGAGACAGAGUGACAGGUGGUGCAUGGUCGUCGUCAGCUCGUGUCGUGAGAUGUUGGGUUAAGUCCCGCAACGAGCGCAACCCUUAUUGUUAGUUGCCAGCAUUCAGAUGGGCACUCUAGCGAGACUGCCGGUGACAAACCGGAGGAAGGCGGGGACGACGUCAGAUCAUCAUGCCCCUUAUGACCUGGGCUACACACGUGCUACAAUGGCGUAUACAACGAGUUGCCAACCUGUGAAGGUGAGCUAAUCUCUUAAAGUACGUCUCAGUUCGGACUGCAGUCUGCAACUCGACUGCACGAAGUCGGAAUCGCUAGUAAUCGCGGAUCAGCACGCCGCGGUGAAUACGUUCCCGGGUCUUGCACAAACCGCCCGUCA
rnacentral:rRNA from 1 species